rfam:Populus trichocarpa scaffold_1_contig_97, whole genome shotgun sequence.
UAGUUUGUCUAGGUUAGAUCCUCAUCUAGUUGCGUCAGAUCCUCACUUGAAUGCUCAUAACCUUUAGUUUCUACAAGUCCAGCUGCAUCACUUUGAAGAGAUGUUGUGUUUUAAGGAAGCACAAAAA